rnacentral:lncRNA from 1 species
GUGAGGGACGCUCCUUACCGAGCAUGAGUUUCAAAAAGUUUAGCCCAUAUAACAUGAUGGUCCUUUUCCAUGUCCAAGAUAAAAGGGAUGUUAUUUUUUAUAUUAGUGAUCGUGAGUGCUAGGUGAAGUUUAGGUUUACUCGACGAGAACUUUGGUGUAGGAACCACGGUGAUUAGUGAGGAGCUAAGAUUGAAGUUGGUUGAAGAUAUGGAAUCAACGGUGGACAUAGGUCCACGAAGGAAAGAAGAGGAGGCAAUUGGGCUAGUAGGGAAGGGUGGCUUAUAGACGCUGGAAGAGAAGGGGCAGUGCACAAGUUGGAGAAGAAAGGAAGUGAGGGUACGAAAGCAGGUUGUUGGUGAAGAUGGAAUACAAUGGUGAUUAGGAGUUGCAAUAGUGCAAAAGAGAGCCUUGGAGCAUAAGGUAGCGUGAAAAAGACAAAAAAAAAAAACAAAACACAAACAUCAGACACAAAGAGAGACGAUGUUUGGAUUAAAGAGAGACUCGUGAUACUAUGUAAAAACAUAUGAUAAUUUGAAUGUCUUCUUAUUAAUUAAGGGUACAAAUAACCAAGCCAUAUGACUAUAUUCAACUUUCUAAUUUAUGCGCAACAUAAUUACUAGGAACUAUUG